rnacentral:misc_RNA from 1 species
CCGAACCGUCAACACGAGUUGUUGCUGGUCCUCAAACAGGGGACAUGUGCACGCUCUGUUUACACAUCCACUCACACCUGUGCACGCUCUGUAGUUCUAUGGUCUGGGGGGCCCUGCCUCCCUUCUGUGGUUCUGCAUCUUUACACACACACUGUAAUAAAGUCUUAUGGAAUGUACAUCGCGUUUAACGCAAUACAAUA